AGCUGCAAUAUGAAACAAGCAUUGGGAAAGUAUUUUCCUGCUGAUGUCAGCAUUACUUUUGUGCAUAUCAGUUAAAUAUUUUGCAAGUAAAGAGCAGCAAGUUCUCAAUAACUGCACAGUGUUCUUAUGAAAAGAAGUAAGCACAGCACAUUAGCUUCUGCCUUACUAAUGCUACUUCCUCCUUGAGGCUUUGGAAUAGAUGACAGUUACAACAGUUGUUCAAGAACAACUUCUCAUGGAAGAAGCUCUUUCCUCAGCCCACCCCAAAACAAGCAUUUGUAUGCUGGGAUGUCAUUUUGCUACAGUAAGAGCAUUAAGCCUACUGUUCAUGAAAGUUUUUAUGGAAGCUGUAUUUUGGAUAGACUUCCUGACAGCAGUGGAUGAAAGGAACUCACACGAGCAGUUGUGCCAGUUAACAGCAGGAGCCUCCCCAGACGCCUCGCUCAAUACUCAGCAGGAUGAUUUUUAUGAAGGCACAGUACAUACUUAUUAAAACUGUAGCAAGUUUCAACACAACAAGUUAAAAUUCACAGAAGGGUGAAAAGAAGAAUGUAGUUCUGGAUUUUUUCCCCUCUCGUGGUAUUUUGAACCAAAACAGCAGAAGACUGCUGCAACUUAUAACAGGCGUCCCAAGUGCAGCUGAAGAGUUGUUGCUCCUGCAGAAUGAGACUCUGCCCCUUGUCCAUAUCUAGGGUGAAAGGAGUGAGGACUGAUGGUACAAAACCCUGCCUGCUAAGACUAUUUUCCACAAGUGUCUGCUUGCUACAAUUCCUUGUGCCUCUGAAACUCCAUGAAGGGGGUUCUAAUAUGUUGAAUGGAUCUGAUAAUAAACUGAUGGAGGAUUUGUGCACAGUUUUAAUGUAUGAUACAUUUAAAUAAUUCAGAAUACUUUUUCUGAAAGGGAAUAGAAUUUUGUAUUUGCCACAAUUGAUUACAUUUUGUUGGAGAUGCUGUUAGCGGUGCAUAAUGAAAACUGAGUAAAUUCUAGGAAACUCUGUAUUGAAGAAAGGCCUUCUUGGACAUUUUGUUGCUAACUUGAAGUAUUUUUCAAGACCUUAACUAUAUUUGCUUGUGCAAUAUUUCAAAGCAUUAAUGUACAAAAAUAUACAGAAAUAUCAGGAAACAUAAAAACCCCAUGUCUCCUAAAAAUUAGUAAUUCAGAGGACAUUUUCAUUCUCAGAGAACAUUCUAGGGAGCUAGUACAUUCUGUCCAUGUAAAGGAAGCAGAAGCUGCCAUUGUCUGAAGGUUCAUGUCAAUAUGACACUGAAGUGGUGUCAGGUUCCUUCAGGUUAAUGCAAAAUUGAUUCUCUAACAUCAGAAGCAAGGAUGAGAGGAUGGUACCUGCUUGUGGAAUAGCAUUAAGUUUUAUUGCAUGUUCAUUGGUAGAAAACAUAAUUCUGGUUUGUUUCCAUGGGAUUUGCUUCUUUCUGAGUUCUCCAUCCAUUGUAAAUGACCCCUUACCAGGAAUUCAUGUUUUCUGGCUUUUGUGGUUGUUUCAUUAGGUCUGUUUUCUUUUUUUUUCCCUUCUUCCUUUCGUUCAUAUGAGAAAAGAACUAAAAUCAGACACAUUUUUGGUUAAGAAUUAUGAUACCUGGAAUCAAGCAGAUGAUUUAGGAUGUCCUUGUAUAAUGGUUUCAAUUGAAAAAUGAAAAGAAUUGCUGAACUUGUCUGAAUGUCUCUAUUUUUGUUGACACUUUUUAAUUUUCCAAGAACAUAAAGAUGUCCCACUACAAUAGCCAUAAAUUGUCAGUCUGAUAAUGUCAAGGAAAAAUAUGCCAAUUUUUUUUUUUACUUUUGUUGAUGCUGUUAUGUCCUUUUCUAGGAAAUGCUGAAGAUCAGCAAUUUGAGGGAUGUUUUAAAAAAUAUCUGGCUUUUUACUCCUUCUUUAGCUUGUAUUCAUCUUAAAGCCCAGUAGAGGAUAAGAGAAAG